rnacentral:rRNA from 1 species
AUUCGACUAAGCCCUGCGAUUCGCGAGGGUUCGGCCCUCGGCUGACGGCUCAGUAACACGCGGAUAAUCUGCCCUUAGGUGGAGGAUAAUCUCGGGAAACUGAGAAUAAUAUUCCAUAGAUUUAGGAUGCUGGAAUGCACUUAAAUUAAAAGCUUCGGCGCCUAAGGAUGAGUCUGCGGACUAUCAGGUUGUAGUCAGGGUAACGACCUGACUAGCCUACGACGGAUACGGGUUGUGAGAGCAAUAACCCGGAGAUGAUAUCUGAGACACGAUAUCAGGCCCUACGGGGCGCAGCAGGCGCGAAAACUUCGCAAUGUGCGAAAGCACGACGAGGGAAUCCCAAGUGCUGGCUCGUUAGAGUCAGCUGUUUUUAUGUCUAAAAAGCAUAGAGAGUAAGGGCUGGGUAAGACGGGUGCCAGCCGCCGCGGUAAUACCUGCAGCUCUAGUGGUGGCCGCUAUUAUUGGGCCUAAAACGUCCGUAGCCUGUUUAUUAAAUGCCUAGGUAAAUUGUGUGGCUUAACCAUACGAAUUCUGGGUAGACUGGUAAACUUGAGACCGGGAUAAGCUAGAGGUACUUCUGGGGUAGAGGUGAAAUUCUG